AAACUAGCUGCUGAAGGCAAAAAAGAAAGAUUGCUACACGGAUAAAAAAACGGAGAAAGAGAGAGUGAGAGACCGAGAGAAAAGAGAGAUAGAGAAAUAGAGAAGCAGAGAACGGAGGAGAGAGAGAUCGAGAGAUCAAAAACUGCACUCUCUAAAAACUGAAACCCAAAACACACAAUCAUCCAUUCUUUCUAUUUGUUAACACAAACGGCCAAAAGAAAAGAUUUUCCCUACCGAUGAAAAAGAAAAAACAGAAGCCCAUUGAAAGAUUGCUUCACGGAGAAAGGAGAAAGAGCUAUCGAGAGAAAAGAGAGACAGAGAAAUAGAGAGGCAGAGAUAGAGAGAAGGGUGCCAACAAAUCUUCUGCCAUCAUUGUAAGGGCGCCUACUUUGCGAUACAGAGAUGAGAAGGAGACAGAUAUUGAGAGAACUACCACCGUUGCAGAAUACCGUUUCCCUGUGCCGGAUAAAGACAUUGGGACUUCUGCAAUGAAAGAAUUAAAAGGUACAGUUAGAUUUUAAUUUCUUUGGUUCUUGCUAGAAUUAAGAUCCUUAAUGAAUGCGAAGAUUGAAGUGUUCUCUUUACAUUUGAACUCACAUGACUUAAUUUGGAUUGUGACUUAUCAUGUUUAAAUAAGAAAAAAUAGAUUUUGAAUUGUAACGUAAUUAAUAUUUGCAUUCAUUGUUACUAUUUGUCUUUUACUAUAUGUUUGUUUGAUGUCUUUGAGUUACAUUAGGUUUUGAUUCGUUUUAGUUUCUCAAUAUACUAAAAACUUUUGUGAGUAUUUGGAUUCAAUUAAUUUUGUGUUUGAUUUUGGUUUAGUUUUAGGGUAUUUAUAAUUGGUUUUGGAUAAUCAAGGUUUAGAAAUCUUGAAAGCAUUGGUGUCUGAUGUUUGCUUCAUCUUUAUUGCGGUAAUUGUGCACUUCUAGAGGACUUUUUUUUUUUUUUUUUUCAAUAACCAACUUUUAGAGGACUUUAUAACAGUUAUUUUUUCACAUAAAUUUGAGAAGCGUUAGAUGAAUUUCUCAAAAUUGGCUGUUUAAAUGAAAGAUGGCAGUGUAUUGCGGCACAAUUUUAAGCCAAAAGAAGAGUUAAACAAACCUGUUUUAAUAUAUGGGUUCAUGCUCUGCACCCAUCUCCUCUUUGCAACAUAUAUGGAAGGUUUGCAUCAUCUCACUGUUUCUUCUCCUAUUCGAAUUAGCAUCUUCAAUAUAUCUAUAUUUUAACUUAAAAUAUGAUGCUUAUUCUUCAAUUGUUUUUCUUCUUGAAAUACUCUCUAUGCAGUUUAUUAAGUACUCUUUAUGCAGUUUAGAGUUUAUAAAUACAAAAACCCACAGAAAAAGUAAUGAGAGAGAGAGAGAGAGAUGGUAGUUAGGCACAAAGGGAAUGGCAUAGAUAUAAAUCUUAGACCACCACCACAGUUGGUCUCCAACCAUUGAAAUUGAGCGUUAAGUAUGAUUUAUGCUUGGGUAUUUGGUUGGAUUAGGCAUUUGGGUUAGAUUUGGUUUUGAUUCAGGUAUUUGGGUUCUCCAUGCUUGGCAUCGACUUCAUCAGGUCACUAAAUCUCUCUCUUUUUCUUUGUUUCUCUAAAACUGAAUUGUUGUGCUCUCUCUUUCUCUUUCUCAUUCUCCUUUUAAAAAAGAAAAAAAAAAACAGAUUAUUAGCUUCUUUGAGAAUCUCAGGGACUCUGCAUGGGAUGCUUUUUUAGCGCAUGAGGUUUUGUUGAAUUCCCUUUUUUGUUUCCAUAGAAAGUAGCAUCUUAGAGAUUUUUGCUGCAAAUUUCAAAAUUAAAUGAAUUUGAAUUUUGGGUUUCUAUGUGGUCUUUUAAAGUUUGGAAUGAUUCUAGGAAUAUAGGACUGACCUAGAAGAUCAGCGUUAAGUCAAACGGUCGACCUGUCAAGGUGGAGUUGUCCAAAUCUCUAGGUAAUUGGCAGUGAUCUUGAGUCCCUAACAUUAGUCAGGUAAAAUGUGUAGGGACAUAACUAGAAGUCUAGGGUAGUGUGUUUAAUCCAUGUGCAGAGGCAUAUGUGUUCAUGACUUUUGCUGGAUGUUAAAAGAAGCUACAUGAUUUCCUAUGUAGAUACAAGUAGCUUUCCAUCUUGGGCUUAACAUUUGGAGAGUCCAAAAUUAACUUUGUUAUGCAUGAUGGAUAUAUUCCGGUCCAUGUCCUGAAAUUAGUGCUUAUAAUGACACACACAUUUACUAAUACAAAUAGAUCAACCACCAACAUUUCCCCUAUACUUCUCUCUAAUUGCAGAUGGCAAUUAAUAAGGGUAAAUUUAUAAUUGGUGGUUCAGCGAAAUCCCACAAAUCAAAUGAAUGAGUUAUCAUACUUCAGAUCUUCUUAAAGUGGCUUUCUUGGAUAGAAUACCUUUAUGGACCUAAUAUACAUAGUCAGUAAUCUCCAGACCAAGAACAAUCAAUUCCCAGAGUUGCAGAACUCUAUAAUCACUAUGAAUGGCAAUAGAGUAAAAACUAAUACUACACAAUCAUAUAUAACUAUAUGCACCAUAACUGCCACCAAAAAAAAAAAAAAAAAACCUAAGUGUCAAGCUUCUAUUAUGUAUGGCUACAGUAGGUGAGGUUAAGUAGUGUAUUAACAGUUGGUCAUAAUUUUGCAAGAAGUGUAACCCAACAGUUGCCUCCUUUAAGUAAAGAAAUUUCACCUCUGGCCAAAUUUCUGGAGCUCUUUGACAUAAGAAAAAAACAAAUUCCUUUUGUUUUUUGCCUUUUAUCUAUUUUUUACUGCCUCUUCUCUUCCCUUCUCAAAAUUUUCAUCUGCCAAGCUCUUAUAUAACUAGAACAGAAAAUUAUCAAUCUUUGAACUUUUUUUUUUAAUUAUUUAAUAUCACCUUGGUUGGAUAAUGGUCCUCAAAGACUUGAAGAAAUUUCCAAUAAUCACAUUUUCGGCACUUAUCUCACUUUAGUCAAUUGUGCAUCAAGUGUUUCUCAAGAUGGAAGGUUGGCAUGCCUAUCCAUUGAAGGUUAUCAAGGUUAGUAUUUUAUCCUCUUAAGUUUUGUCAAGCAGCCUAAAAAAUUAGGAUUAUUAGCAUAUAACAUUCUUUGAAUAUUUUUGAAAAAAUUACUACCAAAUUUUGUCACUACCAUUACUUUUCUUGACUAAUAUGAAAUUUUUUAUGAAUUUAUUUGUCCUCCAACAUGAAUCAUGAUUGCAAUAAAGUUGAUUUAUGAAUGAAAAUUCAGUCUCCUUUUUAAAAUUUUCUUUCAGGCUUUACUAUGGCGUUUGAUUACUACAAAGGCAAUGCUUCAAUAAUUGAUGAUGUAUUUGCAACACUUGGAUUAAAAAUUCAUGGUGACAAAAAUGUCCCUUAUGUGGGACAUUUUUAGGGUAUUAGUUCUUGGCAGGAAUUCAAUGAAUUCUAGAGAAAUACAUAAUGAGAGUUCCAAGUAGAAGACUAGGUCUUGGUGCCAAAGAAUAUAUUUCUCAGUGUGUUUGGCCAAAGAAAAUGUAUAUUAGAAGCUUCAAGGAUGAUGAGAACUCACUAUAAAUGAAUUAUUACACUUUUGUUAAUAAGUUGAACAAUGGUGAGACAUCACCCUUUCAUUCUCUUUA